GGAGGAUCUGUACAGUGGUACGACGAAGAAACUCUCUCUCGAGGAAUGUGACCUACUCCAAGUGCAAAGGGAACCUGGAAUAAAGGUAUCAAUCAGGCACCUUGGUCCUUCCAUGAUCUAGCAGAUGCAACACCCAUGUAAUGAGUUCAAGGGCACCAAAUAGACCAUAGGUGACAAAGACAGCUGCCCUCAAUUCAAAGCCUAACAACAUCACAUGAGAUAGUAUUUGUUCUACAACAGAAGGAGAACCUCAAGUUCAAGAGAGAGAGAGACAAUCUCUUCUAUGAGCACACCUUGUCCCUUACAGAAGCACAAUGUGGGUUCCAGUUCAUAUUGACUCACUUGGAUGGUAUGUAGAGUCGUCAAACCUGGUAAGGCAUUUAAUAUUGAGAAGAUUUAAUUAAACUUGGCCUUGUGGUAGGGUCAAUUUGGGAUGUCUUCUUGAUUCAUGAUGGUUGGAUGGUUUAUUUAUUCAUUCUUUUUGGGGUGCUUUUUGGAACCAGAUCAAUUCAAGGCAAUCAACGAUGAGGGUAUCCCAAUGUACCAGAGGAAUUUUAUGAGGGGAAACUCUGCAUUCACUUCACAGUAGAGUUCCCUGAUUCAUUCACUUUAGGGCUCUUUGAUUCGGGGUUUGGGUUAUUGUUUAUAUUACCUUCAAGUUUCUAUCUAUCUAACUAGUUGCUUUAGUAAUGUUGUUGCUUAUUUAAAUCUAAAUAUUCAUUCAUUUUUUUUUUUUUCUGAGUCAAGUUUAUUUAUACUAUGGGAUCUACAUGGGGCGGUUGAUAGUUUAUUUACUAUGUGUUCCUAGACUAAUCUAAUUUUUUAAAUGAAUUUUGACUCUUAUAAAGAGCAACCCAAUGCAUGAGACUAGGCCUGUGAGGGGCAAAUGUUAUCAGUUAAUAAAUUGAUGCUAACAAUUUUUUAGGUAUUUUCUUACUCUGACAGGUUGUAUAUGACAAGCUAGGGAUGCGUAUUGGCCUUCCAUUUAUUGGGAGACCACGGCCUUCAGUUUAUUGCAAGAGUAUGUGGAGGACAAUGUGCCGGAUUUUUUGGUCUUAAUAUGCAUGCAAAUUGUAUUUUUUUUUAAAUAUCCACGCAAUAUGGUGUGUUUUUCACAGAUACAGGAAUUUGUCUAUUUUUCGAACACAUUCCUGGUUGUGCACAUGUAUGUAAGUAAUUAAUGUCAUGGACAUAUGGAAAUAUGUAAAGAACUUAG